rnacentral:misc_RNA from 1 species
GGCAGGUCCCUUCAACAAAGGCUCCAUCAUUUUUAUACGUGCUUUGCUUAUCUCUUGCUUAAGAGCCUGAAUAUGCUCUAAUACAAAGCGCACACCCUUGAUCAUUGCAAGCGCAUGGGAACACGAUGACUCAACUCGGGUUUCACAUGUCUCAGCCAACUCUUUCAAUAAUUUCUGAUAAGUAACUUUCAUUUCCUCCUCAUGGACUGGAGAGGAAAGCUUUUGCAAAGUACUGAAUGCAAACUCUAGAAUCUUUCCAAGAUAAUCAAUGUCCAGUGUACCUGACUUUAACACCUGAGAGAGAAUAUCUAGAUCAAUAGCUUCAUCAAUCUGUUGUUUCCAGCUUUCUGGAGCCAUCUCACUAAUUCCAUCCCUCACCUC